rfam:Camelus ferus unplaced genomic scaffold scaffold608, whole genome shotgun sequence.
GAGGGUAUAGCUCAGUGGUUGAGCACAUGCCUGGCAUGCAUGAGGUCCUGGAUUCAGUUCCCAAUACCUCCA